GAAGAACGCUGGCGGCGUGCCUAAUACAUGCAAGUAGGACGCAGUUGCGAACGGGUGAGUAACGCGUAGGUAACUACCUAUUAGAGGGGGAUAACUAUUGGAAACGAUAGCUAAUACCGCAUACUAGUAGAUGGACCUGCGUUGUAUUAGCUAGUGGGUAGGGGAAUGGCCUACCUAGGCAACGAUACAUAGCCGAUGUGAGAGGGUGAUCGGCCACAACGGGACUGAGACAAGGCCCAGACUCCUACGGUAGGCAGCAAGAGGGAAGCUUCGGCAAUGGGGGGAACCAUGACCGAGCAACGCAGCGGGAGUGAAGAAGGGGUUCGGAUAGUAAAGCUCUGUUGUUAAGGAAGCGGUACUUAACCAGAAAGGGACGGCGAAAUACGUGCCAGCAGCCGCGGUAAUAC
rnacentral:rRNA from 1 species